CUCUUCAUCAUUGAUGAUAAAGGAAUCCUUAGGCAGAUCACUGUAAAUGACCUCCCUGUUGGCCGCUCUGUGGAUGAGACCCUGAGACUGGUUCAGGCCUUCCAGUUCACGGAUAAACAUGGAGAAGUGUGUCCAGCUGGUUGGAAGCCUGGCAGUGAUACUAUCAAGCCUGAUGUCCAGAAGAGCAGAGAGUAUUUCGCCAAGCAGAAGUGAGCACUGGAACAUUUCAGUGCUAGGCUGCAAUGAGUAGCCUUGAGAAAAACAAACAAAACCUCUUUUGUAUUCAUGUUUCAAACAUAAGGCCUUAGACUCUACUGAGAACAUGGUAUUUGAUAUGAUAGGCUUUUUUUGUAGGGGCUGGGGAGGGGCCGUCUUUCUACACCGCAGUGAAAAUGACCCUGAGCUGUUUUGGGCAGGGCAGCUGAUGUGUAUCAUGUACUAGUAGCAGGGCAUAAGCCCAUUGAUCUAUUGUAGUUGUAUUAAACUUAAACUCAGA